UCAUAAGUAAGAUACUGGGCUAUUCCAUGCAAAAUCACUAUACCAGAUAAGCAUGUUAAGGGUGUAGGGCCCUGAUAAGUAUCCUCGUCACUUUUGCAGCUCACAGACAAGGAAUGAUACUCACAAGCAAGAUGAGGAGAACGAGGAAACAAGCGUUCUGGGGUGUCGAGUAUUCUGCUUGGAGGCCUCAGCGACAUGUGGUGACGAGAUGGGCUGAUGUCGACUGAAGGCCCUAAAGACAAGUUAACAAUUACACCUUUGUAUUUUUUGUGCAUUCACCAAGCACACUUUGUCAAUUCAAUUACCAGCAACUACUUCUUCCUCAACAAGAGGCUGUGCAGAGACAGAGGUGGUGGUGGACCUCUUUUGGACUGUAAAUUAAAAAGAACAAUGACAUUUAGCUUAAAA